UACAGAGGUGGCAAGCGUUGUUCGGAAUUACUGGGCGUAAAGGGCGCGUAGGCGGCCUUGUAAGUCCUGUGUGAAAUCCCCCGGCUCAACUGGGGAACUGCACAGGAGACUGCUUGGCUUGAGUUCGGGAGAGGGAAGCGGAAUUCCGGGUGUAGCGGUGAAAUGCGUAGAUAUCUGGAGGAACACCGGUGGCGAAGGCGGCAUUCUGGACCAUAACUGACACUGAGAGACGAAAGCCAGGGGAGCAAACGUG
rnacentral:rRNA from 1 species